rnacentral:rRNA from 1 species
AAACCUGUCUCAGUUCGGAUUGGAGUCUGCAACUCGACUCUAUGAAGCUGGAUUCGCUAGUAAUCGCGCAUCAGCCACGGCGCGGUGAAUACGUUCCCGGGCCUUGUACACACCGCCCGUCAAGCCAUGGAAGCCGGGAGUGCCUGAAGUGCGUGACCGCAAGGAACGCCCUAGGGUAAAACCGGUGACUGGGGCUAAGUCGUAACAAGGUACC